GGGGCGAAGAAAGAUUAAGGCUAAUGGGUCGAAGGAGAGACCGCCGCCGAAAUCGUCGUCCAAAUCGACAUCUUCCAACAACCCUAAGGAGCUGGAGAUUGAGAUUGCGGAGGUUUUGUAUGGGUUGAUGAUUAGUCGCAAGCUCUUUUGAAGAAAGAAAUUGCAUCGAACGAUACCAGAGAAGUAAACAACAGAUCUUGUGGCGAUACUAAAUCAUGUGUCUCAUCGUUGGUUCCGGGCUCUCCGUCGCCGGCGAUUUUGCCUUCUGUGCUGAACUCCUCGUCAGCAGCUCCCUAUUCAGCUAGUGUUCGGAACAGCUCGUCAUCGGCUUCUGCUAAAGCUGAGAUGGAUCAAACGAUGAAGGCAACGGUUUCUUCUUUCCCAAAUUUCAAGAAAACACCAGUUCAAAAUGGUGGUGGCUCUUUGUUAUAUGGUUUGAGCAGUUCAAUCAAUUCACAAUCAGAUCCAACAACGGAGCCGAUGAAGGUGGAAUCGGAAUUCAAGCCGCCAGCAACGGAGCAAGAGCCGAUGGGUAAGAAUUGUUUCAAUUUCAAUUUCAGAACGUGAAAUGAAUUAAUUUGGGUGAGAAAAUUGUAAAGGUCUAAAAUGCCCUUGCAUUUCACGGCUCAAAUGGGAAACACUAACGGCAGGACUAUUAUAGGUCAUUUUUGAAACUUGAAGGACCAAAAAUGGUUGAUUUUAAAGUUUAGGACUUUAGGUGGCGGAAACACUAUACUCGAGGGAUCUUGGCUGUUAUUAAAUCAAUAAAAUAAAUAAAAACACCCUUCAAAAAAUAAAACAGUUUGAGAACUAAAUGUUAUUGACAAAAUGGCGAAGUUAUAGUGAAAAGAUAUCCAGAAGUACAAAAUUAGAGAAGCUCAGAUGCGCUCUAUUCGUCUUCCAAAAAUGCCCUUGCAUUUC